GCUACUUGGGAGCAAGACAAAAGGAAAAAGGAAAGGAAAAAAGGAAGGAAAAAUGAAAAGAAAGGAAAGGGAGAGACCACAUCCCUGUGUUCUAUAACUCACGCAAUAUUUGUCUCAUUACAGCAGGACCCUGUGCUAGGUUGUGUGUUCAGCAAAUAAAGCCCCAAGACAAGAAAUAAGCUGGCUGGUGUGGACGUAGGUAUGGAAGAAGGUCAGGUGGCUGCCAGAGUUCAGGGGAGUAGAAGAGUAGAGGCCUUGGUGCCAAGGGUGCUCGAGAAAACCAGUGAGAUCAGCCUUGAGCUACCACGCUAGAUUUAACUGCAGAGACAGGAGAAAGCAUGGGAGUGGGGACAUGGGAGCAGGGACAGAAGAAGAUGGGCAUUAAGAUAACAGCAGGUGGCAUAAAUCAGAACACUCCUAAAGGGCCCUGCCCUUGCUGUUUCCACUGCCUGAAAUGCUCCUCUCCCUGAAUUAGGCAUGUUUGGCACUUUACCUUCCUGCCCACCUCCUCCAUGAAGCCCUCUGUGAGCACGUGGUAUGAAAUAGCUGCCAGUCUCUCCAUCAUGCUGUUUCAUUUCUCUGCCCAGCACUCAUCAUCCCGUUAUUUUCUUGUUUGUCUCUUUGCUAGUUUACUCUCUGUCUCUCCCAAGGAUAUAAGCUCUCUGCAAGCAGAGAUCUGCCCACCUUGCAAGGCAGAAUCUGGAACUGCCUGGUACACAGUGAAUUGAAGAAGAGAGAGAGGGACUGAAUCUGGUAACGACUCACUUGACAUUGAAGGAAGGCUCAGCGACAUCAAGAGACCUUGUGCCUUGUGUUGUUCAAAUAAAGAUACUGAGCAGUUUGAACAGGGAAAAGCAGCAGAAAAACCAGCUUCUCACGCAGUUGCCAGUGCCUGCCAGGCAGUGGCAAUCUGUACUGUGUUGUUGUAUGAAGAGUGAUUUUGUUUCAGCAAAAUAACAUCAACUGUUAAAGUUAAUUAAAGUUGUUAACCUGCCUUUUA